rnacentral:rRNA from 1 species
AUAAUAAUUAGUCUUUUUAAUGAAGGCUGGAAUGAAUGAUUGGACGAGGUGAAUUCUGUCUCAUUUGAAUUAAAAUUUAAAUUUAAUUUUUAAGUUAAAAAGCUUAAAUAUUGUUAUAGGACGAGAAGACCCUAUAGAGCUUUAUAUUAUAUAGAAUUAAUAAAUUUUAAAUUUAAUUUAUUAUUUUAGUAUUAUUUUGUUGGGGCGACAGGAAAAUUUAUUUAACUUUUUUAUUAUUUUUACAUUGAUUUAUGAGUUUUUGAUCCUAAUUUUUAGAUUAAUAGAUUAAGUUACCUUAGGGAUAACAGCGUUAUUUUUUUUUAGAGUUCAUAUUAAUAAAAAAGAUUGC